rnacentral:rRNA from 1 species
UAGUCAUAUGCUUGUCUCAAAGAUUAAGCCAUGCAUGUCUAAGUAUAAGCAAUUAUACCGUGAAACUGCGAAUGGCUCAUUAAAUCAGUUAUCGUUUAUUUGAUAGUACCUUACUACUUGGAUAACCGUGGUAAUUCUAGAGCUAAUACAUGCUUAAAACCCCGACUUCGGAAGGGGUGUAUUUAUUAGAUAAAAAACCAACGCCCUUCGGGGCUUUUUGGUGAUUCAUGAUAACUUCUCGGAUCGCAUGGCCUUGCGCCGGCGACGGUUCAUUCAAAUUUCUGCCCUAUCAACUUUCGAUGGUAAGUUAGUGGCUUACCAUGGUUUCAACGGGUAACGGGGAAUUAGGGUUCGAUUCCGGAGAGCGAGCCUGAGAAACGGCUAGCACAUCCAAGGAAGGCAGCAGGCGCGCAAAUUACCCAAUCCCAAUACGGGGAGGUAGUGACAAUAAAUACUGAUACAGGGCUCUUUUGGGUCUUGUAAUUGGAAUAAGUACAAUUUAAACCUCUUAACGAGGAACAAUU